UGGGGAAUAUUGCACAAUGGGCGCAAGCCUGAUGCAGCCAUGCCGCGUGUGUGAAGAAGGCCUUCGGGUUGUAAAGCGCUUUCAGCGAGGAGGAAGGGUAGUGUGUUAAUAGCACAUUGCAUUGACGUUACUCGCAGAAGAAGCACCGGCUAACUCCGUGCCAGCAGCCGCGGUAAUACGGAGGGUGCAAGCGUUAAUCGGAAUUACUGGGCGUAAAGCGCACGCAGGCGGUUUGUUAAGUCAGAUGUGAAAUCCCCGCGCUUAACGUGGGAACUGCAUUUGAAACUGGCAAGCUAGAGUCUUGUAGAGGGGGGUAGAAUUCCAGGUGUAGCGGUGAAAUGCGUAGAGAUCUGGAGGAAUACCGGUGGCGAAGGCGGCCCCCUGGACAAAGACUGACGCUCAGGUGCGAAAGCG
rnacentral:rRNA from 1 species